rnacentral:rRNA from 1 species
UACGGAGGGAGCUAGCGUUGUUCGGAAUUACUGGGCGUAAAGCGCACGUAGGCGGCUUUGUAAGUUAGAGGUGAAAGCCCGGAGCUCAACUCCGGAAUUGCCUUUAAGACUGCAUCGCUUGAAUCCAGGAGAGGUGAGUGGAAUUCCGAGUGUAGAGGUGAAAUUCGUAGAUAUUCGGAAGAACACCAGUGGCGAAGGCGGCGAUCUGGGUCGAUACUGACGCUGAGGUGCGAAAGCGUGGGGAGCAAACAGG